GAGAAGACAGAGAUACCCAAGCAGGCUCCAUGCUGUCAGCGCAGAGCCCCACGCGGGGCUAAAACUCACAAGCUGUGAGUUCACAACUUGAGCUGAAAUCAAGAGCCAGUUGCUUAACUGACUGAGCCACCCAGGCACCCCGAAAAUGCAAAUCAAAGUAACAGUGAGAUACCACUAGUAGAAUAGCCUAAAUUCGUACCAGAGUACUGAUAACAGCUGAUAAUGUCAAAUGCUGACGAGGAUGCAGGACAUUGGAACUCAUACAUUAGUAGUGGGAAUGCAACAUGAUACAGACUGUUUGGGGGAACAGUCUGGCAAUUUCCUAUAAAGUUAAACAUAUUUACCCAAGAGAAGUGAAGACUUAUACCACAGGAAAACCUUGAGGCUAAUAUUCAUAGCAGCUUUGUCCAUAUUUUCCAAAAACUGGCAACAAAUCAUGGUACAUCUAUACAAUGGAAUACUGUUCAGCAAUAAAAAGAAAAAAAAAAACUGCUGAUACACGCAACAACAUAAAUCACUCUGGAAAGUAUUAAGUUCUGUGAAAGGAGCCAGAUUAGAAAGACAACAUACUAUAUGAUUCCAUUUAUGUGACAUUUGGAAAAGGGAAAAAUAUAGGGACAGAAAUCGAAUCAGCAGUUGCCAGGGGGCCGAGGGUAAGAGGGGUAAAAGGAGGUGUGAGGGAACUUUGUAGGGUGAUAGAAAUACUAUAUAUUUUGUUUGUUGCAAUGGUUACGUGACUCUAUAAGUUCGUCAAAAUUCAUAGAGCUUUACACAUUAAAAGGUGAAUUUUACUAUCUAUAAAUUAUACCUCAACCAACCUAAAUUUUUUUUAAAGUGCUGGAUAGAGACUAUUUCCUUGAGAGAGUAGGAAUACUUGAGCAUGUAUGUUUUUUUCUUCCUUUAAAAUUUUGCAUACAUGUUUCUUCUAGGGAGGGAUUUUCCUUCCUACCUUGUUUCCUGAAGAACUCCUUAUUCUCCUUGGGGUUUCAGAAAGGUGCAACUUCCCCCUGGAAAUUUUUCCCUGACUCUACAGACUAGGUUAAUUUGUCCUGCUCUGUGCUCCUAAUACCACUCUUAACUAAUCCCUCCGGCAGAGUGGAUCAUAUUCUAUUGCAAAUGCUUAUUGAAUGGUCUUUCUCACCCUUAAUGCUGUAAGUCUCAUGAGGGCACGAAUAGCAUCCGUUGUAGUUAACUACUUAGUUAGCUAUUGUAACCUUGCAUUUAGCACAGAGCCAGGAAGAAUAUUUGUUGAAUGAAUGGGGACAAAGCAGACAGUUUGGAAUGGCUCAAUGAGAAACUGAAUAUUAAAUUGAUAAGAGAUGAAAAAAUGUAUAAGUUAUUCCCCAAACUGCAUCACCGGUCCUGACCACUAACCUAUGUUCCGCCAGCAUAAUGCUGACUGUUCCUGUGACAUUUUCACAUUGAUGUCCUACUGUUACUUUAGCCUUAACAUUUCUAAGCAGGAGUAGUUUUUCCCCUUUCUUAAUUUCAUUCAAAUGGAAUUCUUUUCCCAAUUUUUCUAUUUCUGGAAGUUGUAUCCCUACUCUUACAGACUUUCAAAGGAGAACCUUAGAAAUGCAUUUAAGUUUUCCUUCUAUUUGCUUUCUUAUCUAAUUUGAUAUAAAAAUGUGUAAUUCCUUCUUUUAAAAUGUUUCUCAUUCUCACUGGCUUUUCAUUCCCAGUGAUGUUCUCAUAGAGCCCAAUCUGGACAAAGAGGCAGGCACCAAACAAGGAAACACAUAUUCAAGUAUGUAAUUAUGAUUUGUGAUAAGUACACGGAGGAAUAAACAGAGUGCUUUUAUAGAAUUAUGGGACGGAGGGGACCUAAUCUCUCUAGGUGGCAAGAGAAAAUGUCUUUGAGAAGAUCAUUGAAGAUCAUUACACUUAAGCUGAGAAGGAGAGAGAGCGAGUCACAGGAAGAAUAGAAAGAACACCAUACUGAACUGAAGGAAAAGAAUGUGCCUAGGAUUUGAGGUGGGAAAGAAAUUGGUGUUCAUUUAUAGCCACUUCCCAGGGCCAGAAGAUGGUUGUGGCUGGAGGACAGCGAGCAAUGGGGAAGACUGGCAUGGGGGAAGACUUGAGAAGCAGGGAGGGGCCAGAUCAUGCUGGGUACUGUAAGCUAUGGCAGAGGACUUGGAUAUUAUUCUUUUGAACAUGAAGCUACUGAAGGAUUGUAAUCAAGGGAAUGAUGUAAUGCAAAAAAGUCAUUUGAAGCAAGAAAAUCGCUAAACAUGAGAGCAUCUCUAAAUAAGCAUUGAUUGUAAACAAGAUUAACAGUGAUAUUAGAGUCUAACUUGAGAAGGUACUAGAUAACAACAAUGAACAACAGUGAGAGGGAGGAUGAUUGGAGAUAAAGCUUCCUAAUGCUCUUGAUUAUUCAGGAAGAGAGUAGAUAAAUUAACUUUAGACUUUCUAAUAUACAUGUUAAAAAUGUAAGAAUAAUUACAAAAAGGAUAAAAACAUACUAUGAAGACUGUAAAACAAAGAAGGCAAAGAAAAAGAACAAAUUAAAACCAGAUCAAUCCAAUAAAAGGGAUGGGGGGGGGGAAGAAUCAAAGAAAUAGUAUUGUAAAAAAAAAUGUAUCAGAAUUGUUGCAAUAAGUCCAAACAUGCCAGUAAUUUCAAUAUAUAAAUAGAUUAAACUUGCCAAUUAAAAAUCAGAACUGCUCACACUAGAUAAUAAUUUUAAAAAUGUAGCUAUAUACUGUUUACCAUAGACAUAGCUAAAACACAAAGGCAUAGAAAGGUUGAAAGCAAAUGAAUGGGAAAAUACGUGAUGGGUAAAUAUUACCCGACAAGAUGUUAGUAGAGUAAUAUUAAAACCAGACCAAAUACCCUUUAAGGUGAAAAGGACUGUUAAGAGUAAAGAUUUAAAAAAAUAAAAGGAAUAAUGAUAAGGAAAAUAAAGGAAUAAUUUAACAAGGAGAUACGGCAAUUCUGAACUUAUAUGUAACUUAAAAUCUAUUUUCAAUAGAUAUAAAGCAACAAUGUCAUUGACAGAAAUGAAAGAAAUUAACAAAUCUUUAACUACAUUGGGAGAUUAUUUUUUAACCACAUUUCCUACAGAAACAGAAAAAAACAGACAAAAUAUUAAUAAGGAUAUAGGAGAUAUGAACAACACAAUUAACAAGCUUUAUUUAACGGAUAUAGCCAGAGUCAUUCACCUAAAAGAGGGUUUCAAAUUAUAGUUACAAAGUCUGCCCCUACAAAGAGGUUAAAGAGAAAUUCACCCAAAUUUUCUUCCAGAACUUGUAUGGAGGAAACUUUUUUAAAAAGAGAUAGAAAGUUGUAAGAAGGCCAUGGGCAUUCUGGAGGUCAUGCUUCCCAUUAACAUUGCUUUUGUCCUCAGAACACGGAGAGUGCAUACAGUUCUUAUGGCAUAGCUCAGGACUUCAUUCACACUUUCAAGUCUUAUUUCUGGUUAAUAAAUGUGUGAGUAUUCUCUCCUCAGUUUACACUGUGAAUUUCUUGAGGUCAAACUGUUGAUUAAAUUAACAAUCCUCAUAUUUCCCAUAAGUGCACAUAUACUUGCUAAGUAAAAUUUUCUGAUUUUUACUUGACUAUACAUGGUAAUUAUGUUUACAUAUUCUUGAACAUUUAAGUGUAUCUUACAGAGCCAGAUAAACAAUGGUAUGCUUAUUAGUUGAUUCAGAUAUUCCAACUUAGACCAGAGAAAAGUUGUAGUAGAUUUAAUUUUCUUUCUUUUUCUUUGCCUAGGCUCCAAACAAUUUGUAUGUAUGUGUGUAUAUAUUACAGUCUUCAUAGAAAGGCUGCAUGUUAAUUAACAUGCUUUCACAGAGAACACAGAAAUUUAGAAAGUGGAAGACAUAGUUUUUUUUUUUAAUUAUUAUUUGAGAGAGAGAGAGAGAACGAGCGGUGUAGGGGGUAGAGGGAGAGGGAGGAAGAGAAUCUUAAGCAGGUUGCACAUUCAGCACAGAUCCUGAUGUGGGGCUUGAUCCCAUGACCCUGGGAUCAUGACCUGAGCCAAAAUCAAGAGUCAGAUACCCAACUCACUAAGCCACCCAGGUGCCUCAGAGGACAUAGUUUCCAACGUUUUUAAAAUGUGAGCCCUAUGUUGUUCAAAAAGAAAUGGGAAAGUUUAUUUAUUACACUUUUCUUUAUGCAAGAGUGCACUCUAUAAAAGUUGUUUGUAGGUAAUUUUUUUAGUUAGCUGUAUCAUAACCUCAAUGUUGGCUAAUUUGUGAUAGAUAAAAAUAUGCAUACAGAUAUUAGGAUAUAAAAGCUCAAAUACAUACACACCACCCAUCACCAAGACUGCCUGGACUGCUUGUUCCUUUUCUGCAAAUCUAACUUAAUUUUUUUGUUUUGUUUCUACUUUUUGUCCAAGGCUUUUGUUGCUAUUUCUUCAAAGGUGACAUUACCCGUAAAAACUUUGGGGGAGGAAGACACACAGUGUGAUUUAUCCAGGGACAGCCACUCCUUUAGGAAUGCCACUUUGUCGUGGUCCUUGCCUGAUAAAUUUUUCUCUUUGUCCUCCCGGUAAAAAACUGCCACCUGAGGGGCACCUGGAUGGCUCAGUUGGUUCGGCGGCUGACCGGCUCAGGUCAUGAUCUUGCAGUCCAUGAGUUCGAGCCCCGCGUUGGGCUGUGUGCUGACAGCUCAGAGCCUGGAGCCUGUUUCAGAUUCUGUGUCUCCCUCUCUCUGACCCUCCCCUGUUCAUGCUCUGUCUCUCCCUGUCUCAAAAAUAAAUAAAACGUUAAAAAAAAAAAAAACUGCCACCUGUGACCAAGAUUCCUCUUAGUUUUCUGUGCACAUGGCAGAUUUAUCCCUAAUGCAAAGUUUUAAAGUCCCAUUUCCCCCCAACUAGUUAUGGCAUUUUUGUGUGUGUGACUUUUCAUAUACAAAAGAAAGGGGAGCAUUGAAAGAAUGAUUGUACACAGGGGAAAUGGAGAGCUCUUGCCUCUGAGUCCAUGGAUAGAAACACAGUCAGUUAUACUCAAACCUUUGUG